GUAACCUGCGGAGGGAUCAUU
rnacentral:rRNA from 1 species